rnacentral:rRNA from 1 species
AAUGAACGUUGGCGGCAUGGAUUAGGCAUGCAAGUCGGGGGAAUCCCAGCAAUGGGGGAACCGGCGUAAGGGGCAGUAAGGCAAGGGUACCUACCUUAGGGUUCGGGAUAGCCAUCAGAGAUGGUGGGUAAUACCGGAUGACGUCGUGAGACCAAAGAUUUAUCGCCCUUAGAGGGGCCCAUGUGAUAUUAGCUAGUUGGUGGGGUAACGGCCCACCAAGGCGAAGAUGCCUAGCGGGUGUGAGAGCACGACCCGCGCCACUCGCACUGAGACACUGGCGAGACACCUACGGGUGGCUGCAGUCGAGGAUCUUCGGCAAUGAGCGCAAGCUUGACCGAGCGAUGCCGCGUGAGCGAUGAAGGCCUUCGGGUUGUAAAGCUCUUUAGUGGGGGAGAAAAGCCGCAAGGUGUGAUCUAUCCCAAAAAUAAGCACGGGCUAAGCUCGUGCCAGCCGCCGCCGUAA